rnacentral:rRNA from 1 species
GGUGGCCAUACCACCCUGAACAUGCCCAGUCUCGUCUGAUCUUGGAAACUAAGCAGGGUCUGGUUAAUACUUGGAUGGGAGAUUUGGAGUUUGAAGUUUCUACUA